rnacentral:misc_RNA from 1 species
AAAUUAAAAGAAUUCAUUAAUGGGGCACUCUGGCUUUAGAUGGAAGGAUAUCAUUCGGCCACAAGAAAAUGCUAAGGCACAACAGGCCAAUGAGCCUUAUAGCUUUAUUGACAUUUUGUCUUAGUCUCUGGUAUGGAUUUGAAAGUCUUUUGUGGCUAAAUGAAAGCGAAAAGAGAAGUGUCUCGAUUCACAGGGAAACCAUAUGCCAAUGAAUUAUGAAUUUUCACCAUUAAUUUAUACAGACACAUCAAUUAUUAAUUAGGAGUUUAAAUUACCAUAUUCUCCUCAUGCCCAUCAUCAGACCAUUCAUGUGCAAAGCACAGCAGCUCACCAAAUAAUCACCGUCCAAAAUUCAAUAUACAAAUAAUGAACAAUCACAAGGAGAGGAAGAAGAAGAAGAAGAAG